rnacentral:rRNA from 1 species
CCUACGGGGGGCAGCAGUGGGGGAUAUUGCACAAUGGGGGGAACCCUGAUGCAGCGACGCCGCGUGUGGGAAGACGGUCCUCUGGAUUGUAAACCACUGUCCCCAGGGACGAUAAUGACGGUAUCUAACGAAUAAGCACCGGCUAACUCCGUGCCAGCAGCCGCGGUAAUACGGAGGGUGCAAGCGUUACUCGGAAUCACUGGGCGUAAAGAGCGCGUAGGCGGGAUAGCAAGUCAGAUGUGAAAUCCUAUGGCUUAACCAUAGAACUGCAUUUGAAACUGUUAUUCUAGAGUAUGGGAGAGGUAGGUGGAAUUCUUGGUGUAGGGGUAAAAUCCGUAGAGAUCAAGAGGAAUACUCAUUGCGAAGGCGACCUGCUAGAACAUAACUGACGCUGAUGCGCGAAAGCGUGGGGAGCAAACAGGAUUAGAUACCCGAGUAGUC